CCUGGUGGCCAUAGCAAGUGGGUACCACCCGAUUCCAUUCCGAACUCGGUAGUGAAAACGCUUAGCGCCGAUGAUAGUGUGGGGCUUCCCCACGUGAAAGUAGGUCACUGCCAGGC
rnacentral:rRNA from 1 species